AAACAUUACUCGGAGGAGCUGUAUGUGAGAAAUGCAAAUGUCUGAAUCAGUUGGACUGGACAUUAAUCAGACUUUACCCUGCCAGCUCCCGGGGACAAAUU